CAAAAAUUGAAUCACCAACGGCCUUAAUGAAAUAACAUUACCGACGGCCAAGAAGACCUUAGCGAGGGCUCUAUGGCCUUUGGUAAGAGCCUCGACCAAUUAAACUCAGUGAUUGGGGGUAUUCGUGCAGGUCGUCCCCAAUUUCAUCAAACAGAACCCUCCCUCCCCUCUGCUGAGAAAUACUGAGAAUUUGGUUGUAGAUUCCCAUCGACCUUCCCGUUUACUCCCUCUGCCUUCCCUUUCGCUUGCUAUCGUUCAUUCUCUCCCUAUCCCUCUACCUAUAUGUUCUGUCUGAUGGCAUUGUGUGCCUAGGGUUCGUCGUGUCGUUGUGGGUGUUGCAGGUGGGGUGGUGGUUCGUGGUCAUUAGCGUCAGGAGGUCCUUGCGGUGAAACCCAAGGUUGGCUGUUCGGUUGAGAGCUCGCAGUGUUGCUUGGCUUCCAUUGAAUUGGGUGUUCUGGAGUGCGAGGGUGAGCUUUUAAAGGAGUUUGGAUUGUGGCCACAAAGGGAGGACGAGAGUCUACGGAGAAGACUUAACUAGGAAAGGAAAGCAAAGGCAAAGGACGUACAAAAUAUCCCUCCGACCCAGCCACGACCCUCCUCGUCACCCGCUGCCCCAAUGCAGCCCACAGCAGUCCAACCUUCAUCAGUCCAACCCUCACCAGUCCAACCCACACCAGUCCAUCCAUCAAUAGAGGAGCAGGAUGAUGAAGAUCAUUCUGAUGAUAACUAUGUACAUUAUUAGUUUCAUUUCCUUAUUACUUGUUAUACAAACAUUUGGAUAUUAGAACAUUUAGAGUUUAGAUCAUUUCGAUGUUACAUCAACUGGGUGACUUUGGAUGUUAGAACAUCAUUUC
rnacentral:sRNA from 1 species